CAGUUUUUUUAGAUUCUAUAUUGUUUAUUUCUGCUCUGAUCUUUAUUAUUUCUCUUCUUCUGCUGGCUUUGGGCUUUAUUUACUGCUCCUUUUAUAGCUCCUUUAGGUGUAAGGUUAGGUUGUUAAUUUGGUAC